UACAGGUACAGUGCGCAACAGCGGAGGUGUAACUGCAUCGUAGCUACGUUGAUCUGUAAAAUACAAAUAUAUUUCAGUUAUUAGAUGGCCGACAACAGGGAUGGAGGAUGGAGGAGAUUUCGGAGCUCGUCGAGAAACGAGCUGGAGCCGCUCCUGAGGAAACUAACCAAAGGUCCAGUUCUGCACACAAUCGCCACUCUCUCACGAAGGGAC